rnacentral:lncRNA from 1 species
UCAGGAACUAAAUAUGUUCGAAAUUCUUGUAACGAUCCAUCAUUUUCAUAUCCAUUGAUCAAUGAGUCAUCCAUUUUCUUUCUCACAGUAGGGACCAGCAAAAGAUUCUGAAAUUUUGGUCAGAUAUUUCUCAAUAGUGUCAAGUUACAUUCCUCAUCAUUGCAUCGCACUCAUAUGCAUCCCAACUCAGAGGAACUGUAAUAACUUAAUGUGUACCUAUCACAACAGAGAAAAUGUUUAUCCCGUUAAUCAAUCUGGUCUAUAAGUAGUUCCAAACUAAUUGCAUCACUUUUCUCUUUUGACAAGAUCUAUAACUUCAUUAAUCCAUAUCACCACGAGUCGUGGUUGACAACUAUAAUGGAAUGCAAAUUAGUCCAACUAGUGAUAUCAAAAGUUGGAGAACAAAGGAUGCUACAGUGUGGGCUACUUCUUUCCUCCCGUGGGAAUGAGGCAAUAAGACCAAAAUUGACAGCACCAAAUAGUGUUACAAUACCACAAUUUCAUCCACUUUUAAUCUGUUUACAUUUUGAUCUCAGAUUGUAAUGCUCUUUCGGAGAAAAUUCAAAUAAGAUAUAGUUAUAUAGAGAGGAAAAUAAAAACUUUUUGAGGCGUGGUUAAAUUGAUACAAGAAAGAACUUUUUGAUAAUAAUUGGUUUAAAUAUGCUCCUAGGAGAGAAGUAAUUCAAUAUUCAGUUCCGAUAAUCAGCAAAUUUUCAAUAAAAAUGUUAGAUUUUAUAGAUUUUUCAAAUGGCCCACAUGCUACUCCAAAUUCUCAUCUACACAACUCAUACCACCACCAAAUACUUUUAAAUCUCUUCAACUUCCUGUAUUUAUAAUUUACGUUUGCUCGUUUUCACCAACAAAUUGAAGUUGUGCAAAAACGCACUUUCGCAAAUAUCAAUGUUAUUCUAAUUGAUAUCGAACCAAAAACAGGGAUUUUUCUCAUAAAAGCCACUAAUUACAGCUUCAUUUGAAUUUUUGCUUACUGAGAAAUGAAAUCCAUAACUAAUAUGCAUAUGACAUAUGAGUAUGAGUACACUUACUUGGAGAUUGCAACGUAGAAUCUCUGGUCAGUAUCUCCUUCAGGAUGCAAUCAGUC